rnacentral:rRNA from 1 species
GACGAACGCUGGCGGCGCGCUUAACACAUGCCAGUCGAACGGAAAGGCCUGCUUUCCCUUGUGGAUUGCGGGUACUCGAGUGGCGAACGGGUGAGUAACACGUGAGUGAUCUGCCCCCAACUUGGGUAUAAGCCUGGGAAACUGGGUCUAAUUCCCGAUAGGACUGCAGGGUGGUGCCUGUGGUGGAAAACGAUUUUCUAGUGGUUGGGGAUGAGCUCGCGGCCUAUCAGCUUGUUGGUGGGGUAAUGGCCUACCAAGGCGGCGACGGGUAGCCGGCCUGGGAGGUGGGCCGGCGACAGUGGGCAUGGGGUACGGCCCAGACUCCCAGGGGGGGCCGCAGGGGGGAAUAUUGCCACAGGGGGGGAAGCCAUAGGCGGCGACGCGGGGGGGGGGGUGACGGCCUUGGGGUUGUAAACUCCUUUGGACGGCGGGGAAGCCCCCUGGUUGGAAGGGUGGUGAGGGUAGUUGUAAAAGAAGCACCGGCAAAUUACGG